AGAGUUUGAUCCUGGCUCAGAUUGAACGCUGGCGGCAUGCCUUUACACAUGCAAGUCGAACGGUAACAGGUUAAGCUGACGAGUGGCGAACGGGUGAGUAAUAUAUCGGAACGUGCCCAGUCGUGGGGGAUAACGCAGCGAAAGCUGUGCUAAUACCGCAUACGAUCUAUGGGAUGAAAGCGGGGGACUUGCAAGAGCCUCGCGCGAUUGGAGUGGCCGAUAUCAGAUUAGCUAGUUGGUGGGGUAAAAGCUCACCAAGGCGACGAUCUGUAGCUGGUCUGAGAGGACGACCAGCCACACUGGAACUGAGACACGGUCCAGACUCCUACGGGAGGCAGCAGUGGGGAAUUUUGGACAAUGGGCGCAAGCCUGAUCCAGCAAUGCCGCGUGCAGGAUGAAGGCCUUCGGGUUGUAAACUGCUUUUGUACGGAGCGAAAAGGUUCUUUCUAAUACAAGGGAUUCAUGACGGUACCGCAAGAAUAAGCACCGGCUAACUACGUGCCAGCAGCCGCGGUAAUACGUAGGGUGCGAGCGUUAAUCGGAAUUACUGGGCGUAAAGCGUGCGCAGGCGGUUUUGUAAGACAAAUGUGAAAACCCCGGGCUCAACCUGGGAACUGCAUAUGUGACUGCAAGGCUAGAGUACGGUAGAGGGGGAUGGAAUUCCGCGUGUAGCAGUGAAAUGCGUAGAUAUGCGGAGGAACACCGAUGGCGAAGGCAAUCCCCUGGACCUGUACUGACGCUCAUGCACGAAAGCGUGGGGAGCAAACAGGAUUAGAUACCCUGGUAGUCCACGCCCUAAACGAUGUCAACUGGUUGUUGGGUCUUUACUGACUCAGUAACGAAGCUAACGCGUGAAGUUGACCGCCUGGGGAGUACGGCCGCAAGGUUG
rnacentral:rRNA from 1 species